CUCUUGGUGGCCAAGCUGGCUAAGGCGCGAGACUGUAAUAAUCUUGAGAUCGGGUGUUCGACUCACCCCCAGGAGA
rnacentral:tRNA from 2 species